AUGGAUUCAAUGAGGAAGACCAUUAGCCGCCACCUUUUCAGAAUUGGAUGGUGUGGUGUACCUUCAUCCUGCUGUCUAAUUUCUUAGCUUAUUUGCUUUAACUGUACUACAGUAUAUAGCAGGAUAAGGAUCCAAUCUUGUGAAGCCUCUCCAUUUGCACCAUCGUCAAAAGUUGCACAUGAGUUGAUUCACACUUUCAGAGUUCAUAGAACACCUAGAGUUAAUCUGCCUGAAGGUAUAUCAGAUCCUAUGGAAAGGGGACCCGGUUCAGAUUUGUCACUACUCUGUGUUGUUGGAUAGCCAUGGUAUGUGUUAGUUUUGUUUUACCACAGUUUGAUUCUUGGUAGUUAGGAUAUCAGGUGUAUACAUUACUUUUCUUAUGAAUUUUUUCUCUUUUAGUGCACUAUCUAUCUAUCUAAUCUCUCUAUCAAAGUUUUCAAAGAAAUUGAUGGCGGUGGCUCAGAGGCGUCAUGGUGAAUGGCGAAGCUUCUAAAAUGGACGGAAGAGAGGUGGUGACUCGCGGCUGGGGGAUGUACAUAUUUGAGGAAAUACGAUUCAUAAGGUUUCAUAUUAACAAAAAAUGAUGAUCUUUGUAAAGUAAUCUGAACAUUUUGUUGAUUCCGGGACAAUUUUAUUCUCCAAUAUGAAUCCGUAAGAAAAUAUAUGACAAUACAUUUGUGCAAACUGAUAAUGUAAGCUCAUCUCGAAACUUUAUUCUUUUUCUAAGAUUGAUUUACUUGGUGGUGCUAACUUCCAUUCUAUCAAAGCAGGACAUGUGUGCUAUUUCUGAAAAAAGAAGCUUUUCUGUUGGCUGGCAUCCCUGAUGGUGCCUUUAGAUAUUUAGGAAAAGAAAUGGUAUCUCAUAAUUCACUGGAUGUAGACCAGUAGGGUCAAUCACAAAUUGUUGGCUGUAAAUGAAUUUCUGUUUCUAGCUUUCAUAAAAUUUAGACAAGUACUGUUUAACAGUAUGUUGUGGUUGAUGGUGGUCCUAUGUGCUGGUUCAAAUUAUCAUGUUGGAUAAUAUUGUUUUUACUAGCAGUUGUAGGGCUCUUAUUAUUAUUUUCCACAAAUAUCAUCAUGUUUUGCUAUUGAUGUAAUGCUAUAUUCCUUGACUGAAAUCAAACCCUUUAGUUGCUACUGUGGUGCUUUUAUUAUUGUGUGCAUAUAUUCGAUAAUGGCUUCAGUUUCCAUUAAAAUUGUUAACUAGACUCCAGUGAUUGCGGUGGCGUAUUAUUCGGCAAAAAGUAGUUUUAUCGCCUUUUAAUGUUUUCAUUUACAUUCAUGGUCAUAUAUGCUGCUUUGGACGAAACAAAAACUCCGACCGC
rnacentral:lncRNA from 1 species